rnacentral:rRNA from 1 species
UACGAGGGGGGCGAGCGUUGUUCGGAAUUAUUGGGCGUAAAGGGUGCGUAGGCGGUUUGGUAAGUCUGAUGUGAAAUCUAUGGGCUCAACUCAUAGUCUGCAUCGGAAACUGCCGGGCUUGAGUAUGGGAGAGGUGAGUGGAAUUCCUGGUGUAGCGGUGAAAUGCGUAGAUAUCAGGAGGAACACCUGAGGUGAAGACGGGUUGCUGGGCCGACACUGACGCUGAUGCGCGAAAGCCAGGGGAGCAAACGGG